AGAUUGCACAAACCAUGCUAAUGGCCAGCAUGGAUGGAGGGAGCGUGUGAGAUGUGUGGGGCAGCGUGCUGCAUCUCAGCCAACUCCAGGAGGAAGCAUGCUCAUGGCAAUACCCGGAGUCUCCACUGCAAGACCAGAGUGACGGAGGCAGCAGAGCUCCUCAGCAGGCCAGGAGUCUCCAGAGGCACUGCCGAAUGUCUAAGAAGCAACCUCAUUGUAUUCCCAAGACCUGGGAAUCCAGGUCUCGCAGAUACGAUGAUACAAUCUAUAGCCAGGACAUCUCUUCAUGUGUAGGCCAAGCUAUAAAUAAAGGGUGGACUGACCUUGUCAACUGUUAAAUUGGAGCCGUGGUGCGUUGCCUAGAACAUUGCGGAUGACCCCGAGCAGCACAGCAGAUCAACGGCUGAGAAAGAGCUCAUUCAGCUCAUCUAACUAGGAUGCUGUCCUGCCAGAGCCCUGGGGGUUCUCGUCUCCUGGGGCAAAAGCAGCAUGCAACCCUUAUGAACCCAUCUUGGAAGGCAUUCGGGGAGCCCAAGACAAGACCAUUGGGAGCCUCAGGGUCACUUGUGGGGGUCUCUGUGCUGGACGGCUGUACCUCUCAUGAAAUGGACAACUGACCAUAAGAAGGAGGUAAGUUACGCAUGGACGGGAAAAUAAGAAGCUCCUACUUAGGGCUGUGAUAUGUGCGGUAACCAUUUAACGUUAAUAGCAUCCAUGUGAGACAGGUGCUAGUACUGCCCCAUUUCAUAUUGGCGGACAUUGAGGCACACAGACUGUAUGACUUGCCCAAGGCUGCCCACCUGGUUAGGGGAGCUCCAGGAUUCCAAUCCAGUCCGAACUCAACACGAGGGGUGGCACCUACAGGCUGGGGUCAAUCUGGAAGACUGCCUGUUGUAUGGCCUGGCAACUAAAAAUUGUUUUUUACAUUUUUAAAUGGUUGACAAAAUUAAAAUAAGAGAAUAUUUCAUGACAUCAUCAAAUUACACGAAAUGCAAAUUUCAGCAUCUACAAAUACAGUUUGAUUGGGACACAGCCACCCUCAUCCGUUUGCAGGCUAUCCCUGGCUGCUUACAGGGUCCACAUAGUCCAUAAAGCCUGAGAUAUUUACUAUCUGGCCUUUUACAGAAAAAGUCCCCAAACACUAAUCUGAAAUGUUUGCAUCAGAACCCCUUGUGGGGCUUGUUAGAAUGCAGCUCCCUGGUCCCACACCCAGUCUCUGAUUCAGUAAGUCUGGAGCAGGGCCUGGGAAUUUACAUUUCAAAAUAAUUUCCCAGGUGAUGCUCAUACUGGUCCACAGACCACUUUGAGAGCCACUACCCUAAACCCCAGUGCUCUACUGCUUGUUGUCAGGAUGGCUGGGUCAGGUGAGAAAGAAGCCUAGACAUCCCUAGAGCCACCUGCUGUGCAGCCACCUUUUGAGAAAGUGUCCCCAGUGAUCUUUUCCCAGGUUAGCCUUUGUGGCUUGGGCAUCCAGCCUUUCAGAGAUAUGAAACCACACACGUCUUCAGAGUGAACAGCUGCUCACCCCGAUGUGCUCAAGGGGUGCAGGAUGUGGACACAUCCUACUGAAUGAGCCAGACAACGUAACUGGAUCUGUCCAGAACACCACGAUGGGUGACAUUGCCAUCUGCAGCAGUGCUGUACUUCCUCCCGCCAAUUUGUAAAGUGCAGACAGGAUGCUGGAUCAACUGGCUGCUGCUGAGGCCAGUGACCUCUAGGGCGUAUUCCCACGUUCCUUUGCAGUAGCUGCUCACCUUUGUAAGCAUGUGAGUUAUUCGUGCUGUCUGUUGUGAUCCUAAGGAAUCCAAUGGUCAGGACCAGAACUUCUGAAGUACAGCCCAGCAUUGCCGUCUGGCAUCCCCAGAAAGCAGAUUUUGAGAUUGGCAUGAUGGCCGUUAAGCAGGGCGUUCUCUCUGGAGCAAUGUCUAGCCGGGGUCGGAGUGGGGAGAGAGAGAGGGGGGCUGCUGAGAAUAUCACAGAGAGAUGGCAGCCUUUCUGCAGCAUAGGCCUAAGUGCACACUCACCUGGCUAUCACUGAGAGGACUCUCUGUUCAACAGGGCCACUCAGGGCUUCCCCUGCAUGGAGAUCUGAGUGUCCAGGGAGGGGACGUGGUGAGCAUUUCUCUGGUCAAAGUGUGCAAAGCAA
ensembl:lncRNA GMDS-DT GMDS divergent transcript